AGCUCUGCGUACGAUGGGAAGAAUAGAAGGGCAGAAUAGAGAUAAAUCGUGUGCUGGCAUAAGGAGACUUGAUUGCUAGAUUUCUUCAGUGAGGAACUGCCCUUGAGAGGUAUUGAGUGCCCCCUUGGACUUGAAGGAUGUCCACAGGAAUUUCCACUGUCUUCAGUAAGAGAAGAGAAUACUGAGCACCAGGCAGGAUGAAGUAAAGAAGAGCUGAUUUACUGUACAAAAAACAUAGAAAAAACUCAGAAGCCUGCUUAAAAAUGAAGAUGUCGUGACACCUAGUGAGAGGCAGUCUGGAUGGAGUGAAAUACAUAGAAUGACCACAGGAAGAGAGGAGACCUGAGAAGUAUGCAAGAAAGGGAAACACAGAGCUUUGAGAACCAGGAACAUGACAUCUGCAGUGAAAGGUGAGCAGUGCAGGAGUCUGACUGAUAUGAUCUGAAUGGUGAAUGAGGAACUCCUCUGCUCUUCCAUGAGGCCACUAGGCGCAGUGGAAUUUAGGAGCAGUCUAUGAUAUUUCUUGGAAAUGGCAUCUUGCAUGGAAAGGCCGAAUUCUUGUAUUACAGAUGCUCUGUCUAAAUGCUGUGAUGGCUUGAUCCAAUGCCCAGUGAAGGUAAUGUUUCCAUGGACUAUUCAGUCAGACCAGAUAAGAACAUCUGCAUCUUGAAGGAAUACAUGCUAAUAGCAACACUUUUUUAUUCAAAGCUAUAUACUUUCCUAUAUAAUAAAUAAUAAUAAAAAUCAACUCUCAUUAUCAAAA